GACGAACGCUGGCGGCGUGCCUAAUACAUGCAAGUAGAACGCACAGUUUAUACCGUAGCUUGCUACACCAUAGACUGUGAGUUGCGAACGGGUGAGUAACGCGUAGGUAACCUGCCUGGUAGCGGGGGAUAACUAUUGGAAACGAUAGCUAAUACCGCAUAAUAUUGAUUAUUGCAUGAUAAUUAAUUGAAAGGUGCAAUUGCACCACUACCAGAUGGACCUGCGUUGUAUUAGCUAGUAGGUGAGGUAACGGCUCACCUAGGCGACGAUACAUAGCCGACAGGAGAGGGCGAUCGGCCACACUGGGAGUGAGACACGGCCCAGACUCCUACGGGAGGCAGCAGUAGGGAAUCUUGGGCAAUGGACGAAAGUCUGACCGAGCAACGCCGCGUGAGUGAAGAAGGUUUUCGGAUCGUAAAGCUCUGUUGUAAGAGAAGAACGGGUGUGAGAGUGGAAAGUUCACACUGUGACGGUAUCUUACCAGAAAGGGACGGCUAACUACGUG
rnacentral:rRNA from 1 species